GGAGACUACAAAAAGGGCACUUAUAACCUGCAGAAAGAAGAUACAGCAAACUUAAAUAAGCAGAUUUAGUUGUGGACCUACGGAUGUCUGUGGAUUUCAAGAAGAGUAAAUAAACAUCAAGGAAAAAGCCUAGGACAGCAUUACCCAGCUUUCCGUGCAGCACAGUGUGGUCACAUGUCCAAAGCUAUACUGUAGGGAUGGGAGUGAUAAACUGCAAGGACCCUGGUUACCUGAAGCCUCAGAGCAAGACCGCCCAACCCUGCUUUGCCAACCUCCAGCCUCCUCCCUGAGAAAGAAAUUAACUCCUGUCUUGCUUAAGCCACUUUUAUUCUGGGCCUUUUUUACUCAAGGGUGAACCAAUCCUAACUGAUUUAUAAAGCAAAGAGUGUGAAUGUCUCUAUGAACUACUGUUGGUUUUAUUUAGAACUUAUGUCCUCAGAAUAUUAGUCAAAAUGAUGAAAAUACUUGAGCACAAUACUUAAGUGAGCAUUCAAGAUUAUAUUUUGCAUUAACUAAAUUUAAUAAAAAAU